rnacentral:rRNA from 1 species
UGGGUUCGAUCCGGAGGAGGAGCCUGAGAAACGGCUACCACAUCUAAGGAAGGCAGCAGGCGCGCAACAUUACCCAAUCCUGACACAGGGAGGUAGUGACAAGAAAUAACAAUACGGGGCUUUAAGUCUUGUAAUUGGAAUGAUGGGAAUUUAAACCUCUUCCAGAGUAUCAAUUGGAGGGCAAGUCUGGUGCCAGCAGCCGCGGUAAUUCCAGCUCCAAUAGCGUAUAUUAAACUUGUUGCAGUUAAAAAGCUCGUAGUUGAAUUUCUGCUGUAUCGUUUUCCUCUGCUUGACAGUUGGAUUUCGUUAUGGCUUAGUUGGGUUACAGUUUCUGUUACCGGACGUUUACUUUGAAAAAAUUAGAGUGCUUCAAGCAGGCUUUUGCCUUGAAUACUUUAGCAUGGAAUAAUGGAGUAGGACUUUGGUUCUAUUUUGUUGGUUUUAGGAGCCAGAGUAAUGGUUAAUAGGAACAGUUGGGGGCAUUCGUAUUUGACUGUCAGAGGUGAAAUUCUUAGAUUUGUCAAAGACGAACUACUGCGAAAGCAUUUGCCAAGGAUGUUUUCAUUGAUCAAGAACGAAAGUUAGGGGAUCGAAGACGAUCAGAUACCGUCGUAGUCCUAACUAUAAACGAUGCCGACUAGAGAUUCGAGGU